GGCAGUGUAGCAUAGUGGUAGUGACUACGGCUCGUAACCGAAAGGUUGCUGGUUCAUUCCCAGCUGGGGCACUGCUG